CUCUAGAAAGCACAGCAGCCAAGGGGAAUUAGAGGUGGUUCAUAGACCACUGGAGGGUCCACAGCUGGGACCAAGGCUUCUCUGCCUAUUACCUGGCAUACAGCUGCUUGAACAGACUGAGACACAUGGGUCAAAUCUGACCUGAAUGGCCUGUUCGCCCCAGCAGACCCCAGGAUCAAGGGGAGAGAGGCGACAAGGAAGAACACUGCAGCCUUCUUUUUUCUUUCCACUUCGGGAUGUAUUUACAGAUUCUCAGACCUUUGGGCUCAGAUUGCAACUCUACCAGUGGCUCUCCUGGAUGUCUGGCUUGCAACAGCAGACCAUGGGACUUCUCAGCCUCCAUUAUCAAUGUCCCUGCAUAGCUGCAAUUCAGCAACGCCAAAGAAGAAAGGAGAGCCUCCAGUUCCCAGCUAUGUUUUUCUCUCUGCCUAGCAGUAAUAGUGUCUUCAGUGUUUCCUUACAUGGAUCAAGUGGAAGAAAAAGGAAUCGGAUUGGUCCGUGAGCACUGUUUGGCCUGGGGAAUAGGUAAGAAAAAUCAGGAAAAUUCACCAUCUACUCUUCAGCACCAGUCCCUCAGAGUAUUUCAGAAAUGGGUUAUAAAAGCAAAGACAUUUUCACAUGCAUUCAUUCAUGCGAUCAAUUCUUAUUGACACAUACUAUAUGCCCCAGCUCUAGGAAAGCCACGAGUCCACAUGAGUUUCCAGAAAACUACUCAGCAACUGUAAAUGGAAACAUUUAACUGCAAGUAAGAUGAGCUACAAGUCUGAAAACACACUGUGGAAAAUCCUGUUUACCUGUUCACCUCUUAGGCAGGCUGUCUGGCCAGCUUGCUCAUCCAUUUUUUUCCACGACUGAUACAACUUAUCUGUGAAUUUUUACCAUACGCUUCCUGCAUCCACUCUUUCAUCCCCAACCCUAAUUCCAGAACAUUCUUGGUCAUGGUAAAUGUCUAUUAGAAUAUCUCCAGUAAAGUAGUAGUUCUUAAAGCCAAUAUCCUAGUGGGCUUGGGGUAAGAUUUUAAUAUCAAAUCAUAGCCCUCUCCAAAAAGAGAACAAGUAAAGGGAAUUAGAGGCCUUUAUAUUUAGCCAUCUUAACUAAGAUAUUAUUUAGAUUUGAUUUAAAGGCUGCAAAACUUCAAAUCAGAUCUGUAUUGAUCAACACACCAGGUAUGGAUGGGCAGGAGUGCCAUUGAAGGGCUGGAAGAAAGGUGACAUGUAUCUACCAGAAGGUGGCAGUGUUGCUUCUCCAAAUACCUCACAGAUUAGACAGGCUCUUGAAUCUAAGGCUAGAAACAAGGUUAGGCUAUUUCUGGACUUUCCGCACUUAGUUCACGUGUAUACUUUACAGAAAGGAAUGUGAAUUAGCUGUACUUUAAAGUUCACCAGUGUAGUAAUCCUCAAAAUAUACACAGAAGUAAAAUAUAAUAAGAAUUUUUUAAAGCACGAUAUGAGUCUCAGUAGACAUGUAUUGAACCUAUGUGGAAGUUUCCUUGCUGGGAGUUCUAUGUGGAAGACAUAGAGAAGCCAAGGACCUUAAUUCUUAACAACUUUGGAAUAUACUUGGGAAGCAGAACUGUAUUCAUAAAAUCAUCAGAAUUUCUCUUAGAAUUCUGGUCCCGAUCUAGAUGCUCCUAGAUCUUUCCUCCUCUGAGACACGACACUGGUUGCUUCCUGUCUAAUCCGUAGGGUCUUUCUCCAUCCUUAACCUAUCAUGGCCAUAUUUGCUUUAUCAUUUUCAUCUGUUUGGCUUGAACUAUCUCCGCACUCUUUAUGUUUGGGACUGGAAGGCAAAGAAAAGAAGUCUUGGAGCAGCCCCACUCCAGUGGAAAUAAAGGACAUUUUGCAGCCUGUCUUCCCAGACAGCCAAAGAGCUCUGAACCCCAAGAUUCUGGAUGAUUCCUGACUUGAGCCUCACAAUCCUCCCAAAGCCAGCAUGAUAUUUCCCGCAAAAACCCCAGCAGCCUGACCGCCUCAUCAAAAGUUUAGUAGCCGAGAACUUAAAAAGAAAAAGAAAAAAAAGGCUACUAUUGCUUAUGCUCCCGACAUCAACCAUUUUACAAACUGCAUUUCAGAAUAUUUGCUAACAUGUCCUGACAAAGAAUAAUAAUUAAUCAGAAGCUCCCCAGCUUGCGUGAAGAACAACAACAAUAAUAGUCAUUAAGAGCCUGUUCUGGGUCUUUCUCUCAUGCUAAGGCUCGAGUUUGGUUGUGAUGAAAAGAAAGUCACUGUAAGAACAUUACAUCUACGUUACUCAGCUCUCACUCAGGAAGCUUAUUAAUCUCAGUGAGUAGAUCUGGCACAACUUUGCAGAACUCUGGAAGUCACAUAGCUGGAGUAGAGGGAGCGAUUCUGUGUAUGUUAUUUCACCACAUUUACAGACCAUAGAAAUAAUGUAGCCAAUCGACAUGCCCUCACUGACAUCUAGUGCUCUGAUUUCUCUCCACCAGCUCUGAUUUGAGAUGGUUUGACUAGUUAAAGCUCAUUGCACAAUGGCUGGUGCUACAGAGCCGGAAAUGCCAGGUCAGCAACCAAACCACUAAAGUCAUAAGCGCCUGCUGCAUAAAUGCCCAUGUUUCAUCUUUAGCGGGCUUCAAAGUUAAAUAGCGAAGACAGACAAUGCAAAGAAAAACAUGACUGCGGUAAAACACGGCAACUACACGAUGGCUAAAAUUAAGUCUUCAUAUCAAUCAUGCAUUUUUAAUGUGAACAUUUAUGGAAAUCUCUCUUAAUGUUUAGGCAGUAUUUUUCUUCAUUGGUUAUUUAUGAUGCUGUGAGCUGCAAGCACAAGCUAAAUGGGAAAGCCAGAGAAUGGGGUUUGCUUAACAGUCGACAACCUUGUCCUACUGUAAAUAAAAAAGAGAAAGCCCAUCAUCUCUUCAAGCGCAUCUUCAUAAAUAAACUUAAAAAGAAAAGCCGUCAGAGUCCAUCACAUCUUUUUUCCUUCCUAACCUGGAAGUCCCUAUUCCAUAAUGCCUGACUGGUUUCUUUUCUCUACUAGGGGCUCUCCACCAUGCGAUUUAGUUCACUGUUAUUAUUUGGCAUGUGAAUAUCAGGGAAAACAUUUUUUAAUACAAUUGAAGAGCUAAUAAUUGAAUGCCUUCAGCCAAGUGAAAAUAGCUCGGGGGGGAGGGAGGGUAGUGCUGGAGUUUAACAUAAAAUCAGAUCUGAGAGUAGAAAAAAAGGAAGGGGCUUGAGAACCCCAGGAGUGAAACUGGCCCCCUCGUUUGUUCGGUUCUUCAGUGUUGAUGUUGACCUCUCUUUGAAUGUAGUCUUUAGUUUGGAAUGUGAGUGUGAGAUUCCCUGGGAGAAUAUUAAAGGUCUGCAGUGGACAUUGCCCUGGGACUGAGCUUCGGCAAACAAAUUCUCCCCUGUAAAAAUGACUAACCGAGCCCACGUGCUGAGGCUCAAGGCUGGACCGUUGUUUAUUUAUUUGCACAUCCCCCAAAUGAAGAUGUAUGUCCUAAACAGCCAUCCAAGCUAUUCUGCCACCUUUGGAGAAACUGAGACUUGAUGCUGGCUCCAAGUCUUGAGAAAAUGCAUUAGUGCCCACUUUAUACUCAGAAUAAUCCCUAGAAAUACCAUAAACAGACUUAAGGUGCCUGGAGUAAACAGGAAAGCUGGAACCCACCAGAGGGAACUUGUGAGGCAGCUGACUUGUGUUUCAGGAGGUGAUCCCGUGAGUCACUCGUGACCAUUCCCAUGUCUACAAGAGCCUUUCCAAGUUCUGUUUUUACAAAGCCAGGAGAUUUUGCCCCCCAGGGGAAAUAGAAUACAGCAAACAAGAUAUAAUAACUGCACUAAGGAGUUCCACCAGCCCGUUACCUGGCAGGCAUGAUGGCUUUCCUCUAACCAGACUGUCAUGAUUCCAAAUCUUAAGAGCAGAUCUGCUGAUAAAGGUGAACUUCACUUAGCCCAAACCUGACAGACUGCGGGCCAUGCUGAUGUCUACCUUUUGUUGAGCUCAUUUCUAAAAUAGUACCUUCCCGCCUGGGCACACCACCUGAGGCGAUGCGUAUUGCCAGAAGAGAGCAAGAUAAGAGGGGGCAAAGCAAGUUAAUGGAAACUACACGCACUGUCAGCCUCUCGGAAAUGGCUCCAAACAGGAGCAUUAGCUGGGCUGGCCCAACAGGCAGGCUGAUGAUCAACACAGAAGACGUUUGGAUCAAGCAGAUCUCCUUGCUGUGUAAACAGAGGGUAAAGACUUCGAUUUCUAGAAAGAUUUCCAUUUCCAUUUCUAGAAGUAUUCUAUAGAUUCACACCUAGACUUGGUGCUAACCAUCUGUGGGUCAACACAUGUGACACCGAGAAGUGUUUUUAAAAAUAAAAUCGCAAUUAUUUCUCAUUC